rnacentral:rRNA from 1 species
UACAGAGGGGGCAAGCGUUAUUCGGAAUUACUGGGCGUAAAGCGUGCGCAGGCGGUUAUGUAAGACAGAUGUGAAAUGCCCGGGCUUAACCUGGGAACUGCAUUUGUGACUGCAUGGCUAGAGUUUGGCAGAGGCGAGUGGAAUUCCCGGUGUAGCGGUGAAAUGCGCAGAUAGUCGGGAGAACACCAGUAGCGAAGGCGGCUCGCUGGGCCAUUCCUGACGCUGAGACGCGAAAGCUAGGGGAGCGAACAGG